UGGGGAAUAUUGGACAAUGGGCGAAAGCCUGAUCCAGCAAUGCCGCGUGUGUGAAGAAGGCCUUCGGGUUGUAAAGCACUUUAGUGGGGGAAGAAAGCACGCAAGUGUUUGACGGUACCCCAAGAAUAAGCACCGGCUAACUCUGUGCCAGCAGCCGCGGUAAUACAGAGGGUGCGAGCGUUAAUCGGAAUGACUGGGCGUAAAGGGCGCGUAGGUGGAUAUGUGUGUUGGAUGUGAAAGCCCCGGGCUUAACCUGGGAACUGCAUACAAAACUGCAUAUCUAGAGUGGAGCAGAGGUGAGUGGAAUUUCCGGAGUAGCGGUGAAAUGCGUAGAUACCGGAAGGAACACCAGUGGCGAAGGCGACUCACUGGGCUCAAACUGACACUGAGGCGCGAAAGCGUGGGGAGCAAACA
rnacentral:rRNA from 1 species